rnacentral:rRNA from 1 species
ACGAACGCUGGCGGCGUGCUUAACACCUGCAAGUCGAACGAUGAAGAAAAGAAUUGAAGCUUCGGCAGAAAUUCAUUUCGGAUUAGUGGCAGACGGGUGAGUAACGCGUGAGCAACCUACCUCUUACAAAGGGAUAGCCUCGGGAAACCGGGAUUAAUACCAUAUAACAUUGCGACGAAGCAUUUCGAUGCAAUCAAAGCUACGGCGGUAAGAGAUGGGCUCGCGUCCCAUUAACCAGAUGGUGAGGUAACGGCUCACCAUAGUAACGAUGGGUAACCGGCCUGAGAGGGUGAACGGUCACACUGUAACUGAGACACGGUCCAGACUCCUACGGGAGGCAGCAGUGGGGAAUAUUGCACAAUGGAGGGAACUCUGAUGCAGCGACGCCGCGUGAGUGAUGAAGGAAUUCGUUUCGUAAAACUCUGUUCUAUGGGAAGAAAAGGACUGUACCAUAGGAGAAAGCUCCGGCUAAAUACGUG